CCUGAUUACCUUACUCCCUGACUCAGAGUCUUUUCUUUUUUUUUUUUUAGUUGAACAGUCAACUCUCUCCCAGGUGUUCAAGUCGCCUGCUGAAAAGGCACAGAGAUCUGUGUGAUUUCCCGUUCAGAAAUCCUCUGCC